rnacentral:rRNA from 1 species
CCUACGGUAGGCCGCAGUAAGGAAUCUUCGUCAAUGGCCGUAAGGCUGACCCAGCCAAGUCGCGUGAAGGACGAAGGACCUCUGGUUUGUAAACUUCUUUUAUAGGGGCAUACAGAUGUCUCCGUGUGUAUAUUUUCAUGUCCCCUAUGAAUAAGGAUCCGCUCACUCCGCUCCAGGCGCCCCGGUAAGACGGUGGUUGCGAGCGUUAUCCUGUGUUAUUGGGUGUAACGGGUGCGUAGGGUGUUUUUGAAUUCCACGGUGAAAGUUUGGGGAUCAAACAUACAGUGGCCGUUGAAACUGGAAGACUGGAGUGUGUAUGAGGUAGGCGGAAUGCGUGGUGUAGCGGUGAAAUGCAUAGAGAUAUCGCAGAACUCCGAUGGCGAAGGCAGCUUACUAGGCCAUAACUGACGCUGAAGCACGAAAGCGUGGGGAUCAAACAGGAUUAGAUACCCUGGUAGUC